GGAAGGUCUGUGGAUUGUAAACCCCUUUUCUCAGGGAAGAAGUUCUGACGGUACCUGAGGAAUCAGCAUCGGCUAACUCCGUGCCAGCAGCCGCGGUAAGACGGAGGAUGCAAGCGUUAUCCGGAAUUAUUGGGCGUAAAGCGUCCGUAGGCGGUUUAUCAAGUCUGCUGUCAAAGGCUGCAGCUCAACUGUGGAUCGGCAGUGGAAACUGAUGAACUGGAGUACGGUAGGGGUAGAGGGAAUUCCCAGUGUAGCGGUGAAAUGCGUAGAUAUUGGGAAGAACACCAGUGGCGAAGGCGCUCUACUGGGCCGUAACUGACGCUGAGGGACGAAAGCUAGGGGAGCGAAAGGGAUUAGAUACCCCUGUAGUCCUAGCUGUAAACGAUGGAUACUAGGUGUUGGACGUAUCGACCCGUUCAGUACCGCAGCCAACGCGAUAAGUAUCCCGCCUGGGGAGUACGCACGCAAGUGUGAAACUCAAAGGAAUUGACGGGGGCCCGCACAAGCGGUGGAGUAUGUGGUUUAAUUCGAUGCAACGCGAAGAACCUUACCAGGGCUUGACAUCCCUCGAAUCCUCUUGAAAGAGAGGAGUGCCUUCGGGAGCGAGGAGACAGGUGGUGCAUGGCUGUCGUCAGCUCGUGUCGUGAGAUGUUGGGUUAAGUCCCGCAACGAGCGCAACCCACGUCCUUAGUUGCCAGCAUUGAGUUGGGCACUCUGGGGAGACUGCCGGGGACAACUCGGAGGAAGGUGUGGAUGACGUCAAGUCAUCAUGCCCCUUACGUUCUGGGCUACACACGUACUACAAUGCUUCGGACAAAGGGCAGCCAACUAGCGAUAGUGAGCUAAUCCCAUAAACCGAGGCACAGUUCAGAUUGCAGGCUGCAACUCGCCUGCAUGAAGGAGGAAUCGCUAGUAAUCGCCGGUCAGCAUACGGCGGUGAAUACGUUCCCGGGCCUUGUACACACCGCCCGUCACACCAUGGGAGUUGGCCACGCCCGAAGUCGUUACUCUAACCGUUCGCGGA
rnacentral:rRNA from 1 species